AAGUGACGACGUUGACGACCAGCCGUAACUAAAACAAAUCGUAGUUAAGCUAACGGACGUCACGGAGGGAGCAUGUUUAAGAACAGUUUCCAAAGCGGGUUGUUUUCUAUCCUAUUCAGCAUCGGAAGCAAACCUCUGCAAAUCUGGGAUGAAAAAGUGAGAAAUGGACACAUCAAGAGGGUUCUGGACGACGACAUCCGCUCACAUGUGAUGGAAAUCGAGGGAGUAAACGUUUGCACUACAUACAUCACGUGUCCCGCGGACCCCAAGAAGACUCUGGGCAUCAAACUCCCGUUCCUGGUCAUGAUCAUAAAGAACCAGAAGAAGUAUUUCUCCUUUGAAGUCCAGGUUUUAGAUGAUAAAAACGUUCGCCGGCGGUUCAGAGCAAGUAACUACCAGAGCACGACCAAGGUGAAUUCCUUCAGCUGCACCAUGCCCAUGAGGCUGGACGACGGCUGGAACCAAAUCCAGUUCAACCUGUCAGAUUUCACCAGGAGAGCCUACGGAACCAAUUAUUCAGAGACGCUGCGAGUUCAGAUUCAUGCCAACUGUCGCAUCCGGAGGGUUUACUUCUCUGACAGACUGUAUUCUGAAGACGAACUCCCAGCAGAGUUCAAACUGGUUCUGCCCAUCCAGAAGGCCAAAGGCAGAGCGGCAGGAGUUGAUUAGAAAGUCACCUGGGAGUUGGGGGCAAGACUGUUCGCACAGAAGGCUAACAGUGCGGCGGUGUCCUCAUCAUCAUCUGGGAUGGUUUGAUUCCUACAGCAGAGGAAACAGAAGAAAGCACCAAUGGCAAGUGGGAAGCCAGCCAGAAAGCAGCCAAUCAGUGGAGCAUCUCUGAACACCGGCUGGAUGAACAGAGGACAGGAGCCGUUUCCUCCCUUCAUCUGAGGCACAUCCAAUUAACUGAUCAGAUACCAGACCAAGUUUUCCGCCCCCGGCCAAAACUGCAUCAACUCACCUCAAUGGUACCAUCUAGAACCCCGUCCAGGAAAUCCAGCAGCUGGCGCUCUGUCUCCACAGGACCAGCUGGCUGGUAGUAGCCGUCAUUGGACAGAUUAACCGCGAUCAAAGAGGGCACAGUGACCUCUCUGAUGACAACAAAACAGGACGUGUAGCAACUGACAGAAGUACAACCAAAGAUGGUGAUUAACACAAGACAAAAACUCACCCCAUCACAAAUCCAUUGAUGUAGUCCCCAGCUGCCAUAAAGCCAAAGAGGAAGAACCUGGAGGUGGAAGAGCAGGUGGAUGGAUGGAACCAGAGAACAACAAGGACAUCUCCAAGGAUUUUAGACUAUUUCUGGGGCUUUUCAGUGAUUUUAGAUCAGACCCAAAAAUCUUGGAUGAUACAUUUUGGAGGCUUUCAGACAAUUUUAUGUUUGCUUUGUAAUUCUGUUGUGGUUUUUCAAAGUAAAAGCCUGACCUGCUGUA